rnacentral:rRNA from 1 species
UACGGGGGGGGUAAGCGUUGUUCGGAAUUACUGGGCGUAAAGCGCACGUAGGCGGCUUUGUAAGUUAGAGGUGAAAGCCCGGGGCUCAACCCCGGAAUUGCCUUUAAGACUGCAUCGCUUGAAUCCGGGAGAGGUGAGUGGAAUUCCGAGUGUAGAGGUGAAAUUCGUAGAUAUUCGGAAGAACACCAGUGGCGAAGGCGGCUCACUGGACCGGUAUUGACGCUGAGGUGCGAAAGCGUGGGGAGCAAACAGG